rnacentral:rRNA from 1 species
CUAACGUUGACCCGUAAUCCGGGUUGCGGACAGUGUCUGGUGGGUAGUUUGACUGGGGCGGUCUCCUCCUAAAGAGUAACGGAGGAGCACGAAGGUUGGCUAAUCCUGGUCGGACAUCAGGAGGUUAGUGCAAUGGCAUAAGCCAGCUUGACUGCGAGCGUGACGGCGCGAGCAGGUGCGAAAGCAGGUCAUAGUGAUCCGGUGGUUCUGAAUGGAAGGGCCAUCGCUCAACGGAUAAAAGGUACUCCGGGGAUAACAGGCUGAUACCGCCCAAGAGUUCAUAUCGACGGCGGUGUUUGGCACCUCGAUGUCGGCUCAUCACAUCCUGGGGCUGAAGUAGGUCCCAAGGGUAUGGCUGUUCGCCAUUUAAAGUGGUACGCGAGCUGGGUUUAGAACGUCGUGAGACAGUUCGGUCCCUAUCUGCCGUGGGCGCUGGAGAACUGAGGGGGGCUGCUCCUAGUACGAGAGGACCGGAGUGGACGCAUCACUGGUGUUCGGGUUGUCAUGCCAAUGGCACUGCCCGGUAGCUAAAUGCGGAAGAGAUAAGUGCUGAAAGCAUCUAAGCACGAAACUUGCCCCGAGAUGAGUUCUCCCUGACCCUUUAAGGGUCCUGAAGGAACGUUGAAGACGACGACGUUGAUAGGCCGGGUGUGUAAGCGCAGCGAUGCGUUGAGCUAACCGGUACUAAUGAACCGUGAGGCUUAACCUUACAACGCCGAAG